GCCUUCGUGGUGUAGUGGUUAGCACGCUAAACGCGUAAACGAGAGGGCCGUGGUUCGAUUCCCGGCGAAGGGG
rfam:Stegodyphus mimosarum contig138916, whole genome shotgun sequence.